UACGGAGGGUGCAAGCGUUGUCCGGAAUCAUUGGGCGUAAAGCGCACGUAGGCGGCUCUUUAAGUCUCUUGGUGAAAGGCUGGGGCUCAACCCCAUGCAUGCCGGGGAUACUGGGGAGCUGGAGACAGGUAGAGGCCAGCGGAAUUCCGGGUGUAGCGGUGGAAUGCGUAGAGAUCCGGAAGAACACCGGAGGCGAAGGCGGCCUGCUGGGCAGUAGCUGACGCUGAGGAGCGACAGCGUGGGGAGCAAACAGG
rnacentral:rRNA from 1 species